rnacentral:rRNA from 1 species
AUUGAACGCUGGCGGCAGGCCUAACACAUGCAAGUCGAACGGUAACAGGAAGCAGCUUGCUGCUUCGCUGACGAGUGGCGGACGGGUGAGUAAUGUCUGGGAAGCUGCCUGAUGGAGGGGGAUAACUACUGGAAACGGUAGCUAAUACCGCAUAAUGUCGCAAGACCAAGAGGGGGACCUUCGGGCCUCUUGCCAUCGGAUGUGCCCAGAUGGGAUUAGCUUGUUGGUGGGGUAACGGCUCACCAAGGCGACGAUCCCUAGCUGGUCUGAGGGGAUGACCAGCCACACUGGAACUGAGACACGGUCCAGACUCCUACGGGAGGCAGCAGUGGGGAAUAUUGCACAAUGGGCGCAAGCCUGAUGCAGCCAUGCCGCGUGUAUGAAGAAGGCCUUCGGGUUGUAAAGUACUUUCAGCGGGGAGGAAGGGAGUAAAGUUAAUACCUUUGCUCAUUGACGUUACCCGCAGAAGAAGCACCGGCUAACUCCGUG